ensembl:lncRNA
AAUUCCCCAAGACACUUCAGUGCUCCAGAAGAAAUCUGGGGAGCAUCAAACCAACAGGGAUGCAGGACUACCAAGAAGCUCCUGAACCUCGCAGAGAUUACUCCUCGGUUUUCAAGGCUGCCCCCACGACACGUUUCAAACACAGCUUUGCUCCGAGAUGACAACUCGGAGAAGUCCCAUUCUAGCCCUUCCGUGACCCUCCGCUGGGCAGCGAGCGGCCAGCACCGCCGGGAAGCCGAGCAUUCCCAGCGUUUCAGAGGACUGGAGAGGCCAGCUGAGGAUGCCAUCGCCAAGCCCAGGCCGGCUCCCGGCGCGGCUCGGGGGUCCCGGCCCCAGCCCUGCGCGGGCCCCGACGGGCGCUGCGCGGCCCUGCCCACGGCGCCACCCAGCGGCCAAGCCGGGAACCGCCGGUCCCACGCGCGACCGCGGCGGGACCCGCGCCUGAACCGACGGCGGCCCCACAGGGCAGGCACUGCGGCACCACGGCCCCCGCGCCCCAGGGGCGGCAGUCACGUCCGCUCCAUACCACCCCACAGGUGGCAUUUCCACGGUGCGAGAUGUGAGAUGUGGCAGGAUUUCCAGAAGUAUAUCUGGCCUUGAAAUAUUUUGAAAAUCCAUGAACUUCUGUGCUCCAAGACCUAUGUUGGAAGUAGUUUUGAAAAUCCUGCUGGAGAGUACAUGCAGCCCUUCUUCAGCAGCACUUGAUUGCUCCAUCUCAGGUGAUCUGAUUUUCUCCAAUCUGUUUCUAGACAUUCAUAAUAUUUCUGCAUUGCCAAGAAAGCACAGAAACAGCCUGACCCGGACAUUUGUGUGGGUGAGGCUUUGUUUCAGGCACUCUUGCCAAGAGCAGGGAUGUGAAUGUUGCUCCUCACAUGAGUAGAAAGCUCCAAGUCAUUGUGCUUUUUCUGGUGAAACUAGUAACAGUAACAUGCUUCAAGCACAUAUGGAUGUCUUGGUUCACCUCCAACUGGCAUUUUUGCUUUGUUAGGUGAUAGGUUUGAGCCUUAAGUUCUUAUUCAUAAAAAAACUCCCAAUUUUUGUGGAAGUGAAAAUGGAUAUCUAGACCAAGAUUUGGCCCGCAGUUCAACUGUCUAACUGUAGUUUUUCUGUGAUGCAACUUUAAGAAGCAAAUGAAGCCGGCUGUAAUAGAGUUGGGAGGAACUAGGCAAGAAUCAGAAAAACAUACAUGAAUAAAUUACCCCCUUUCUCCUGUUCUUUCAAAGAUUACAAAUACUUAUAGUGUUACAAAUGUCACAUCAUCAAAAGACUCAAACUGGGCAGGUGUUUAUGGUUACUUUCACACUGGAAAUGUAACAGGCAUCCAGAUGGAAAUGAUGCUGUGAGGCCUUGGAAACCAGACACUGAUCCUCGUAGACAACCAGGAUGCAAUCAAAAUAGGAAGACCAUAAAAAACUGAUGUGCUGGUUGAAAAUUAUUUAUCCAAGCAACUUGAUGAAUACCUAUAAAUAAGAAAUACAAUAGCAAUUGGAGUUGGCUCAAAAAUUAUCCACAAUUAAUAAACUGACCCAUCCUAUGUACUGUGUUAUUUUCCCUGACAUUUUCACAAGCUACAAAUCUGAUAACACAAUUAAAUGACAAGUUCAAUCACUUCUUUAUUUCAUGUGUAUGUAUAAUAUAAUAUUUUAUAGCUGAUUACAGAAAAGACUGUUUACUCACAUUGUAUCUUCCCUAGCAUAAUUCAGAGCUUUGCUUGCCUAAGAAAUUACUUGUCUGUAUUUUGAUUAAAAAAAGCAAAACCUCAUUGUUCUCGUGGCAAAUGAAUUCAGUCUUUAAAUGAAACUCAUUGUCACAUCCUUUUCUAUGAAGCAAAGGCAUUCAGCUCCUGGAACAGCUUUAACCUCCAACACAGCACUUUUGUGUCUGUAUCUGAUCCACCCGUAAUUCAUCCCUUUUCCAAAGCUUCGUCAGUGUUUGUGCUCUGUACUUAGUUCUCAAUGAACUGGCUAUAACACAGUAGUUACAGCUCCCUGGAAAAUGACACACUAACUCUGUCAAGUUUUUUAUUAGCUUGGAUAGGUCUUUUAUUUUAGCAAGGUCUUUUAUUACCUUGGAUAGCUUGAACUAGUUCUGAAGUGGAUGAGUGAAGACCUGGAGAUCCAAUUUUAUAUUGAGAGCCAUUAAUUUUUUUAACCACAACCCCUUGAUUAUUGAUACGCUUUUGUUCUUUACAGUCAUUGCACAACACAUUGUUUGAAGUGAAUCAGAGCACACAAACUUUCACAGUUACUUACUGGAGUUUGGAUCGGUCAUGGCAACCAGCUGGCAGAAGUCCUCUGAUUUUCAGGAUGCAAGAGGCAUCUGCUCUUAACCAGAAGCUACUCUGAUCCUUUCUGUUCCAUAAUACUUCCCAAAAACAAUCCUAAAAAUACUAUAGAGAAAGGAAGAGCCUGUAAAUCUUGACUUGUGGUUAUUUUUUUGCCUAUUAAUCCUCAG